rnacentral:rRNA from 1 species
GACGAACGCUGGCGGCGUGCCUAACACAUGCAAGUCGAGCGAUUUACUUCGGUAAAGAGCGGCGGACGGGUGAGUAACGCGUGGGUAACCUGCCCUGUACACACGGAUAACAUACCGAAAGGUAUGCUAAUACGAGAUAAUAUGCUUUUAUCGCAUGGUAGAAGUAUCAAAGCUUUUGCGGUACAGGAUGGACCCGCGUCUGAUUAGCUAGUUGGUAAGGUAACGGCUUACCAAGGCGACGAUCAGUAGCCGACCUGAGAGGGUGAUCGGCCACAUUGGAACUGAGACACGGUCCAAACUCCUACGGGAGGCAGCAGUGGGGAAUAUUGCACAAUGGGCGAAAGCCUGAUGCAGCAACGCCGCGUGAGCGAUGAAGGCCUUCGGGUCGUAAAGCUCUAUCAGCAGGGAAGAAAAUGACGGUACCUGACUAAGAAGCCCCGGCUAACUACGUGCCAGCAGCCACCGUAA